rnacentral:rRNA from 1 species
CCUACGGGCGGCUGCAGUGGGGAAUAUUGGGCAAUGGGCGAAAGCCUGACCCAGCAACGCCGCGUGAAGGAAGAAGGCUUUCGGGUUGUAAACUUCUUUUGACAGGGAAGAGCAGAAGACGGUACCUGUCGAAUAAGCCACGGCUAACUACGUGCCAGCAGCCGCGGUAAUACGUAGGUGGCAAGCGUUGUCCGGAUUUACUGGGUGUAACGGGCGUGUAGCCGGGCUGACAAGUCAGUUGUGAAAUUCGGGGGCUCAACCCCCGAACUGCAUUUGAAACUGUUAGUCUUGAGUAUCGGAGAGGCAGGCGGAAUUCGUAGUGUAGCGGUGAAAUGCGUAGAUAUUAGGAGGAACACCAGUGGCGAAGGCGGCCUGCUGGACGACAACUGACGGUGAGGCGCGAAAGCGUGGGGAGCAAACAGGAUUAGAUACCCCUGUAGUC